GGGGCUGUAGCUCAGCUGGGAGAGCGCUUCCAUGGCAUGGAAGAGGUCUGGGGUUCGAUCCCCCACAGCUCCACCA
rnacentral:tRNA from 1 species